rnacentral:rRNA from 1 species
ACGGUACAGGAUAGCUUGCCUAUCGCUGACGAGUGGCGGACAGGUGAGUAAUACUUAGGGAUCUGCCUCUGUGUGGGGGAUAACUAUUGGAAACGAUAGCUAAUACCGCAUAAUGUCUACGGACCAAAGCGGGCUUCGGCUCGUGCGCAGAGAGGAACCUAAGCGAGAUUAGCUAGUUGGUGAGGUAAAGGCUCACCAAGGCGACGAUCUCUAGCUGUUCUGAGAGGAAGAUCAGCCACACUGGAACUGAGACACGGUCCAGACUCCUACGGGAGGCAGCAGUGGGGAAUAUUGCACAAUGGGGGAAACCCUGAUGCAGCCAUGCCGCGUGUGUGAAGAAGGCCUUCGGGUUGUAAAGCACUUUCAGUUGUGAGGAAAGUUUAGUAGUUAAUACCUGCUAGAUGUGACGUUAGCAACAGAAGAAGCACCGGCUAACUCCGUGCCAGCAGCCGCGGUAAUACGGAGGGUGCGAGCGUUAAUCGGAAUUACUGGGCGUAAAGCGCACGCAGGCGGUCUGUUAAGCUAGAUGUGAAAGCCCCGCGCUCAACGUGGGAGGGUCAUUUAGAACUGGCAGACUAAGUCUUGGAGAGGGGAGUGGAAUU